UAUGAUUGCGUUUUGCGCGUCCAAUGGCAUCUGUUGGGGUUAUAGAGUGCAAAAGGAGUUUAUCGUCAUUCGACACAAAAGCGUUUUGCGCGCCCAAUGGCAUCUGUUGGGGUUAUACGAGUGCAGAAGGAACUUAUCGUCAUUCGACACAAAAGGUGAAUAUGAUUGAAAUAGCUUAUGCGGUUUCUGGCUAUGAUUAUUCAUGAUGACUUUCUACUCAGCUCUCUUUGAUACAUACAUGAAGAAAGCUUGUUCCUUAAUACCUACGCAUUACAUUUUAAGCCCUGCACUGUACGCACCCAAACGAGAUAUAUUUGGAAUGUGGAUUCCAAAGUAAAGUGGUUUGCGCAUUGAAAUGGAAUACAUUGGAUUAUACAUUGGUGAGGAGCGUUUUAUAGACUACGAAACAAAAGGUAUCGAUCUUGUAUAGAUUUGGAUUGAUCACAGAUGAUGAUGUUAUUGUAGAUGUGAGAUUUUCACACGUUUGGCUAUUUGCCCAGCAUUGUGUGAGGAAUGUCUGCACAUAAUCGAUGGAUGGAUGGUAAGUUAGACCACCGAUGGUACCACGAUGAACAAAGUUAUGAAUAAAAUAUUUCUCGCAAAACAUACGAAGCCGCGUUUGUUUAAUUUUAUCAUUGAUGCAAUCCGAACACUGUAUAAACA